rnacentral:rRNA from 1 species
CCCGCACAAGCGGUGGAGCAUGUGGUUUAAUUCGAUGCAACGCGAAGAACCUUACCUGGGCUUGACAUCCCGGGAAUCCCUUGGAAACAAGGAGUGCCCUUCGGGGAACCUGGAGACAGGUGCUGCAUGGCUGUCGUCAGCUCGUGUCGUGAGAUGUAGGGUUAAGUCCCGCAACGAGCGCAACCCUUGUCUUUAAUUGCCAUCAUUGAGUUGGGCACUUUAAAGAGACUGCCGGUGUUAAACCGGAGGAAGGUGGGGAUGACGUCAAGUCCUCAUGGCCUUUAUGCCCAGGGCUACACACGUGCUACAAUGGACGGUACAGAACGAUGCGAAACCGCGAGGCGAAGCAAAUCGGCGAAAACCGUUCGUAGUUCGGAUUGGAGUCUGAAACCCGACUCCAUGAAGUUGGAAUCGCUAGUAAUCGCGUAUCAGCACGGCGCGGUGAAUACGUUCCCGGGCCUU